UACGAAGGGGGCUAGCGUUGCUCGGAAUCACUGGGCGUAAAGGGCGCGUAGGCGGCCAUUCAAGUCGGAGGUGAAAGCCCAGGGCUCAACCCUGGAAUUGCCUUCGAUACUGUUUGGCUAGAGACCGGAAGAGGUAAGUGGAACUGCGAGUGUAGAGGUGAAAUUCGUAGAUAUUCGGAAGAACACCAGUGGCGAAGGCGGCUCACUGGCCCGGUACUGACGCUGAGGUGCGAAAGCGUGGGGAGCAAACAGG
rnacentral:rRNA from 1 species